UUUAUUUUGAUUUUCUUUCAUUUCAUCUGUGGAGUACAUAAGCCUACAUUGGGUUCGUUGUACUUGUGUUUUGGAGUGCUACAAACACAAGUGUAGCCGUUGUAUCUUGGGAGUCGAUUGCCGAAAUCCGUAGGCACCGUUGCGGGGCAAAUUCGACUUAAGGACAAAGAGUCCAACUCUUGCCUCGACUUUGUCACCAUCAUUAUACUUAUUUCGGCGUCACUAUUCACAAAAUUCUUCCAACAGUAUAUAUAUAAAUUAACGUAGAAGAUGCCUUUUUUUUACUCCAAUUCCGCUUCACGUGUGGCCCAAUUACAUGUAAUUUAUUUAUCAAGGCUUUACUUCAUUCCCCUGGUGUAUUUUAGCCCUCAUGCCAUUCUUAAAUUCAAUUCUACCACUUCAGUUUUUCAAUGUAUACAAUUUGGUCUCCGACUUUCGAUUAAGCUCAAUUUAGCCAAUUUCUCGCUUGUUUGGUCUAAUUCCUUUAUUUUUUCCCUUUUGCUUCUUUUCUUCUUCUUUUGCACUCUUUUUUUUAUCACUUCCAUCAAUCUACAAAAUAACAUCAAAAUCACAUAUUAGCACUUUUAAAAUACUUUCCAAAAUAGCAAAAUCAUGAAAUUAAUGGCAUAAUAUAAUGAGUGUAAAUCACUCAUCAGUGGGCAUAGUAAAUUCUACCCGUUAUGAGGUGGAGAUCAAAUCCAUCACACUAUUAUUCUUUUAAACAUAAUUGAAUACGUUGUUUUUCCUUAUAGUAAUUUCUUGAACAAACUUAUAUAAGUUAACUUUUAUCCUUACAAUAAAAUAAUUAUUUAACCUACUAGUAAAAGAUUAUUAUCAAAAUAAGUUACUUUUCAUUUUCUGUUUAAUCAAGUAUUUUCUAUAAUUUCAACCUCACGUAAGGUUAGGGGUGCCGGGAAGGGAAGUUGAC
rnacentral:lncRNA from 1 species